rnacentral:rRNA from 1 species
UACAGAGGCCUCGAGCGUUAGGCGGAAUCACUGGGCUUAAAGCGUGUGUAGGUGGAUGCCUAAGUACCUUGUGAAAUCCCACGGCUUAACCGUGGAAUUGCUUGGUAUACUGGGCGUCUUGAGCCACUCAGGGGCGAGCGGAACAAACGGUGGAGCGGUGAAAUGCGUAGAUAUCGUUUGGAACGCCAAUGGUGAAAACAGCUCGCUGGGGGUGUGCUGACACUGAGACACGAAAGCCAGGGGAGCGAACGGG